GGUUACUUGAUUAGUGCUCCUCCAACCUCUCAAAGUCUUUGAGUUAUACCUAUCUCCAACUUAAUCAAUCUUUUCAUCUUCACCAUCGGUGAUUCGACUGCGGGGAUCUCUUCUCUCCAAAGCAAUAUUAAUUCCCACCUCAAAAGUCUUGGACAUCACUAUCAUCUCCUAAUGUUGUCAUAUUGGCUUCAUUCUAUACUAGAAAUUGUCCAAGAUUUUUCCAAGUUCGUUGUCCCAUUGCAGCAUAGAUGAGAUAAUUUCAAGUUGUGAUACGACCGUGGUAUGUAAUCUCUCAUUCAGUUGGCAAGUCGGUGAGGGAUCAAUCAAUUAAUUUGACAUGAUGCAUAAUCCUUCCGUUUUUCUCUAUGAUGGCUCUUUGCUUUCUGAACAGGGGACCUCUCCUAAGCAACACUCAUGGAGGGCAUGGUGGGUUCAGCUGUUGUGCAAGAGACCGUGAGCAGAAUCACCUCCUACCUGUUCAGCAAGUGUGACCAUGACAAAAGGACGGCAUCCACAGGGCAUCACAUUGAGAGGCUUGAGGUGGCGCACAGCGAACUAGAGCUUGCACUUGAAAGAUCUGCAAGGAUGCCAAUCACUGACGUGUCCCUUCUACGGCGCUGGAAGCGGUUGGAGCGUGCCUUCAAAGAUUGCGGAGAUCUGCUACACAGGUGCAUCAAGCAGCAAACAAUGAACGUCGACAUAGAGUUCGAACAACUAGUUCAGAUGUUCAGAUGUUCGAAGAAACGAGUGGUUUGCGGCGUGCGCCAACCGUUUCCUCAGAGAUGUGGAGUCAGGAUGCUCACCUCUGCGGUGCGUGUUCUCUAACCCACUUGAGUACAAGAUGGCGCAAGGAAGUAUACUCCGGUGUCUGCACAUACAGUGCAUGUGUGUGGAAGGGCGUGGUGUGGAGGCGAUGACCGGAAGACACCGAUGAGAAGUUUUUCUCUCAUGCUGAUGCUACGAUUGUUAGAGAGCACGGACAUCGUCGGAACUGCUAUAAGAUGCUUGCAGUCAUUCACAUCUUCGAUGAACGAUGUGGCUGAAGCAGUAAUGAGAGAACUCAUCCAACUGCCUCAGCAAGACAUCUCCCACUCACAUGCUGCUUCAUGUUUCACCAUAAAAGAUUUGUGUUCCUAUGACACCCACUUUUGGCGCCCGGAUCCACUAUGUUGCAAGCCAGACAGGUGUGCUACUAGCUGUAUUCCAUCAGAAUUAUCAUGCAAAUUCCAGGAGCAGGUUAUUCUGAUACGCAUCGAAUGCUACGUUUCUGCCUUUGAGUGCAGCAGCCUGCAUAACACAGCUGAUGCAACUGCAAGAAACCUCGUGGCUGACCUGCCACCUCUGAAGCUUGGAGUGGGCUUUGCACCUCACUUUUUCAAUGAACGCACGCAAGGUAGAACUGCAGUUGAAAUAAUCGGAGGGAAGGAAGAGCUUAUAAAUGAUAGCCUACAGCAAAUGGACGAGACAGUACGAUCAAAGGCAAUCAAACAUUACAUUUGCCAACCUGAUCUGGCAUAUUAUAAAAUGGGGUGGUAUCCAGGACAUGGCGGCGCCUACUUCAUGGUGCAAAAAUCAGGCACUGAAAUAGCAAGGGCGCACAAAGUCGAUUGUGGUUUCGACAUCCGGGGAUCUUCAAAGAGAAGGCGGUCGAAGUGAGAAGAAUGGAGCACGAAUUCGUGCUUAGCAUAUUUAUGAGAUGGUGUUUAGAUUCAACCAAGUGCCUAAAAAUUGCCAGCGACAAGCAGCCAAGACAACUCCAAGUUCCUUGUCCACUGCUGCGUAGAAGAAAUACUUUCAAACGUGAGGUUAGGAAUUUUUGUACGAAGACCACAGGACACCAACGAAAAGUUUUGCACUCGGGCUGAUGCUACAACUGUCGGAGAGCAAGGAUAUUGUUGGGACUGCUAUAAGGUGCUUGCGGCCAUUCACCUCUUCAUUCAAGCCUGUGCCUGAAGCUGUAUUUGGAGAACAUUUCGCAUUCGCAAGAUGCUCCUUGUUUCACUAUACAAGAAUUGUGUUCCUACGGUUUGGCGUCCGGAUGCAAUAUGUUGCAAAUCGAAUGGGUGUGAUGGACACAACAUACCGUCGGAACUAUCAUGCAGAUUCCCGGAGCAGGUCAUCCUGGUACAUGUUGAAUGCUUUGCUUCGGCCUCUGAGUGCAGCAAAUUGCAUAGCACAGCAGCUGACGGAGCUCGCACAAAUAAAUGUGGUGGGUCACUGGCCGCCUCUGAAGCCGUGAGUUGGCUUCGCACCUCACUUCUUCCUUGAAUGCAUGCAAGAGAGAACAGCAUUUGAGAUAUAGGCGUUUCGGUCAUCCAACAUUUGGUGUUCAUUUUAUCCCUUGUAAUCAAUACUGAAUUUGUACUUCCUGUUUCAUGCUCAAUGGAAUAUGGAGCUUGUGAAUUUUUCGCUGUA